GGAUUUCCAGCCACGGGUAGUUUACCGAGAGAAAAAGCUGCGGGCGUCGCUCCCUCUUUUACAUAAGAAAGGCUAAGCUCUAAAAGGCAGACAACUUCUUCCUGGCCCUUCGGAGAAGCUAGCCCUUGGAACCUAGGCCCUGAGUCGUGAGGAAGAGGAAAGACUACAUGGGGUCACUAUGUAAGGUGUUCCUGGUGACAGCUCCUGCUGAGGACCCAGCUGACAGCAAGCACCAACCUCCAGACAA
rnacentral:lncRNA from 1 species